rnacentral:misc_RNA from 1 species
ACACCUCAACUCUCAUGGCUUGCCAUGAUGAGCUUGGACAUUGGGGGUCUUGCUGGUCAGUGACCAGCUCCUCUCAAAUGAAUCAGCUUGCCAGUGUUUGGUGGCACCACAGGUGUGAUAACUAUCUACGCUUGUGGUUCCCUGCCAGGCAUCCUUCAGCGAUGGAGGUUCACUGGAGCUCAUAAACGUCUCUCCAUAGCGAGGACAACUUCUUGAAU